GGUGCGCAAAAACCUUCUCUGUAUUCUGAACUACAGCCUUUCUAGUAUUUCAGACGAUAGUCACCUCCCUAGGCCUGCUUCUCAGCUGUAGAAACUCUUUCUUGGUAUGUCUAAAAUACUUUCUUGGUAUGACCAGAAAAGCAACAUAUAACAAAUUCUUUGGCAUAUUUUUCACAGAAAGCCAGGGAGAUCCUUCUAGACUGUAAUGUAAAAAGAAACCAAAGGGUUACAUAAGUUUUCAGCAAGGUUUGGUACUUUUACUAGCUUACCUAAGGGAAGAGAACCUCCAGAAUUGGUAUUCAUUUUUCCUAUAUUCUUUACCCUUUGAAAGGAAGGGAGAAUGAAUCUAGAGUGUUGAAGCCAAUGUGAAAAGCAACCAGAAAUCUCCCUGGUACUUAAGAGUUCAGCUCUUCCUCAUCCUCCAUUUCUCCUCAUCCUGCCCUAAGUCUGAUUUCUUUAGUGUGGUCACUGAUUUGUAACUGCCCUGUAGCUGCCCAUAAUUUGUGGGAAGUUAGUAACCUAAUGGCACCAGAAGCUAAGCUGUCACUUUUACAGAACACAUCAAUGUUUGACAAAGCAGAGAGAGGAUUAAGUUUAAUGACAUUCUAGUUGUUGAGUUAAAACACAAAAAAAUACAUUAUUAUUCUGUAAUCUGUAAAGCAAUUAUAUUUUGCUCAGUAGAAACCCCACAAAACAUGGUGGAGCUCCACAACAAUUACAUCUUAAAACAGAAGCAGUACAAUUGUCCUCACUCAGUAUUUGGGGUUGGACAAACAGGCGCACUAAGGGACACUAGAAACUAGCCCAUCCACUAAUUAGUAUUUCAUGCCAACAUGUUUCAGGACACACCUCUUAUGUCUACUACAUUUGCCAUGUAGACAUAGCAGACAUCUGCUCAGAAAACCAGAGUUCUGUUCUAUAAAACCAUUUCAUAUUUAUUCCAGCCUGCAAAAUUGGUUAUAUUUCAUUGUAGAUAAAAGUCAAUCUGUUACUUCUGGGAAGUUUAAAUAAGUAUGAUCCCCACAGCCAAGCUGCUAAUUAAGCCCCUGUUCCUAUCAGCUAAUAGCCCAAACUAAGGUGCCCAAGCAAUUUGUAUAGAUGUUAGGAUGGAUAAUGAAUGAAGGAAGGUAUGGUCCGUAGAGCUGUGACAAUACAUUCAAUGAAUUCCAAUUUAGCUUUCUAUGUAAUUUAUUUCAUAUCUGCCAUCCAAUUGUCAAGCACCAGUACAUACCCUGAUGGAGCAUAAGAGGAGAGGAAUUAAGCUGGAAACCCUGAGGGAAAAAGUAUGUUUUGUUUGUAUUUGAAGGAAAUGUUCAAAAUACUUGAUGUUCGACACUGAGUAUUUCCCCUACCUGGGUAAGGACUGUGCUAAACUUCACUGUUUCGUUUCAACUUCCGUUUCAACGGGACAAUGUUUCAUUUUGACAUUUAGUUUCAAAGCACUGUUCUGUUUCGUUUUGUCAAAACUGUUUCACUGUUUUGAUGCUGUUUCAAUGUUUCAUCCAUAGGUAAUAAUGGGGAAUCAUGAAAAUGUCUGUAACUUUGUCAUUUCCCACCUGAUUCAAAUGAAAAGAGCAGGGUGGUAGCCCCUGUUGAGGCCACAAAGCCUGUCAAGUUUCAAGGAGAUAGGUGCAGGGGUUUCUGGAGAAACUACACCUCAAAGUCUUGAAAGCAAAACUCAUGUCACUUGUAAGUGUGAAGGCAAAGGGGGGUGAAAACUGCAGGCAUGGUAGCCCCUGCUAAAGCCAUGAAUCCUGCCAGGUUUCAAGGAGAUAGGUGCAGGAGUUUCUGGGAAACUGCAACUGAAGCUGUUGACAAGCAAAACUUGUGUUACACGUGUGUGUUAAGGCACAGCGGAGUGAAAACAGCAGGCAUGGUAGCCCCUUAUGAGGCCAUGAAGCCUGCCAGCUUUCAAGGAGAUAGGUGCAGGGGUUUCUGGGAAACUUCACCUCAAGCAAAAUUCAUGACGUGACUUUGUGUGUGUGUUAAGGUGCACCCUCACUGGCACUGGGGCCUCUACACAACAUGGUAGCGUACCCCAGUGAGGCUCCUCCUCCCCUACAACCUCAUCCUGGUCCACCACUUUAAAUAACAACAGGAGCUUCUUUUCCAGCAGCUGCCAGAGAACUCUCCCCGCCAGCCCCAGCCCUGGGGCUUAGAUGUGCCCAGGGACCUGCCUCCUUCCGGUCAGCUGACCAGGGACAGGUGCUAGAGAUGUUGGUGUAAGGACAUGGCACUUGUAGACAAGGGUUUUGGGGUCAAUCUGGUAUCUUUUAGUAGACCAACUGAAUAAUUCAAGAAAUAUAUCUUAGCAAGCUUUCAGGUUGAAAACCCUUUGUCAGGCUGAGGAAGCACCUAUAGUUGGCGUGUGUGUGUGCUGUUCCUGGGUGGAAGGAAUAGUAAAGAAGUCAGAGGCUGGCAUGCAGUGCAGGCAAGAAAGCCAGUCAGUGAAAAUGGAAAUGGAGGCAUCAGGGGAUUAGGGACAGGCUGGGGUGGGGGGGGGAGGGAAAGGGGGGUAUAGCAGUACAGGUAAAAAUGGAGCGGUACCUGGGGAGUCAGAUGUCUGGCAGGUUGUAGUGUGCCAGAAUUCCACUGUCUAUAUUGAGUCCAUGAGUUUCUGUACCUAGGAGGCUGAUGAAGUGCAGUUCAUAGGCUUGUCUGUGAAAAGUGGUUUGUAAAUUCAAACAAGCACUGAACCUCGCUAACCUCAUCAUCAGAAGCCAACUUCCUACAGCCCAAAAGGCAUACAACAGAUCCAGAUCAUGCCAUGACAAGACAUGCAAAACCUGCAAACAACAUGGAGAUAUCUUCACAAUACAAUACAUAUCUUCCUCAGUGCCGUGAUGGAAAUUACGUAGAAGACACCGAGCAACAACUGCACACCAGGAUGAGUACACACGGAAAGUCUAUCAAAGACAAGAACGGAACACCACCUGUCUCCCAUCUCAAGCCUGAUCCUCAAAGAGAAUUUACAAACCAUUUUUUAUGUGGAUUAACUGGAGAGAGUCCAGCAGAGGGAAGUGAAAAUGGUUAGGAGCUGGGGCACAUGAGGAGAGGCCGAGGGAACUGGGCUUAUUUAAUCUGAAAAGGAUAAAAUGGAGGAGGGAUUUAAUAACAGGCUUCAGCCACCUGAAUGGUGGUUCUAAAGAGGAUGAAGCUAGACUGUUCUCAGUGGUAACAGAUGACAGAAUGAGGAGCAAUAGUCCAAAGUUGCAGCAACGGAAGUUUAGGUUAGAUAUUAAGACAAACUUUCUCAGUAGGAGGGUAGUAAAGCACUGCUUCUAGGAAUAGGCUAGCCAGAGAGGUUGUAGAAUCUUCAUCCUUAGAGAUUUUUAAAACCUGGAUAGACAAAGUCUUGACUGGGAUGAUAAAUUUGGGGGUGGUCCUGCUUUGGGUGGGGGUUGGACUAGAUGACCUCCUGAGGUCCCUUCCAACCCUCAUUUUCUAUGAUUCAUUUGGUGGCAGCCUAUAAGUAUAUAAGGGGUGUGCAUCAGGAACUGGGAGAACGUCUGCUCACCAGGGCACCCCAAGGGAAAACAAGGUCUAACGGUCACAAACUGCUGGAAGACCAUUUUAGACAGGGCAUCAGGAAAAACUUCUUUACUGUCCGAGUCUCUAGUCUGGAAUAGACUCCCCCCUGAAGUGGUGCAAGCACCUACUCUGGAUACCUUUAAGAAAUGCUUGGAUGCUUAUCUUGCUGGGGUUAUCUGACCUCAGCUGACUUCCUGCCCUUGGGCAGGGGGCUGGACCCAAUGAUUUCUUGAGGUCCCUGCCAGUCCUAAUGUCUAUGAAAUCUAUGAAAAGAAGAGAUUCAAGGACACUGUGAUGUGAAAUCUGAAGAAAUGAGAUAUCAGCCUCAAUACACGGGCAUUCAAGCACUGAAUCGUCCCCAGUGGCAUCAUGAUGUCUGACAAGGUUUCAAUCAUUUAGAGCAAACUCAACUCAUUACAGAGGCAGUUAGAUAAGAGAGAUAAAGGGAAAGAGUUUGAUCCAACAUCACCAGGAUCGACUCCUUCCAGGAUGUACCCUGGAACUACCUGCCACAUCUGUAGUCAAACGUGCAUCUUGGAUCAACUGCCUAAGCUAUCUAUGGACUCACUGAGGACUUCCCUAUUUAUUGGAAGAAUGUCAUUUUUGUAUCGAGGAUCUGCCAACUAUGAUCUGAUGGAGAAAAAUAAUGGCAGCACAAACAAUUGGGCCGUAGAAUAAUAUCAGCCAUAUAAACUAAUGAUAUUACAAUAAAGACUCCAAAAAGCAAAGGAACAUUUUCAAUGAAGAGAGGAGAGAAAGUGUUUGCACAUGCAGACUCCCCUCUGGUGGUUGGCUCCAGGUUUGCACAUCUUUAUAAAUCUUACCACCAAAGUAAGGUCUUUAUAAGGACUCAGCAGCUCUAGGGUGGAAGAUUAUUGAGUUUUCACCUGGGAAAUGCUCCAUCUGUUCACAUCAAAAAAGUCUUGAAAAUCAGCCGAUCAUUUGUCCUGUGGAGGUUUCACACACCGAAUAAAAUCUGAACACAGCUUAUCUUCUCUACUGUAGUAGAAAGUAUCUUUUGGAGUGGGUUGGUUCUCAUUAGAAAGCAGCAAAGUUUUAAUAUUAAAAGUACACACAAUUAUAAAUCAGUUUUACAAAACAUGUUUGUAUCUUGACCCUUUUAGUUAGCUUCAAUAAAAGUCAGUGAAAAUACCCAGUGUUUCAGACCAUAGCACGCAGCCCAGGUCUUUUGUUCAGACUAAGCAGCAGUAACAGUGCAUUGCCUUGAUAUAUCCUCUAAGCAGCCACUGCUACUUCAGUGGAUGUUACCUAAAUGACUCACUUCCUCUCCACAGCGCUACAUUUUUGUCCGUUUUGAGACCAUCCCUCACAUUCCUUUGAUGGAAGCUAACGAGCAGGAAGAAUGUCCCUGCUGAAGGCUUUUACUCUGGUUCUGGCAUGUUCCUAUGGCUCCACUGAAGUCCUAAAACAAACUCAGCUGUCCAUCAGUCGGGCAGCAAGUAGAACUGCACGAAUUGAAUGCCAUGUGGCUGUAUCCGAUUUUGGCAGAGCUUAUCUACACUGGUAUCGACAGAGACCUGGUGCAGCCCCAGAGCGGAUUCUGUACUUUUCUUUGCAGGUCCAUGUUGACCGUGAGUCUGAUAAGGGAAAGUUCAAUGUACAAAAGAACCUCAACAAGUCCAUCUGUGUCCUGACAAUAAACAGAAUAAGCUCCAGUGACAUUGCUACCUAUUAUUGUGCCACUUGGGCAGGCACAGCAUCAGAAAGCCAUUAACAGUCUGUAAGAAAAGCUCACUCUGCAUUCUGAACCACAGUCUUUCAAAUGUGUGGAAGACACCUCCCCAGUUCUGCCUCUCGUCCUGGGACUAGCUGUAGAAACUCCUUGUUGACUUCUACAAGAGAUAACAAAGGAAAGUGCUGAUGUCAAGUAUAUUGUGCAGACAAUCUCUAAAACCAGCUGCACAGUAGCUGGUGCAAAUGAAGAACAGUAAAAUAUGAAAUCCCUACCUGUAAAUAGCUUGGUUCUUUCUUCUACCACAUAGGUGACAAACACCUGCUGUAUGCUGAUCCCUCCUCCUGCAAAUCCCUUCUCAUGACCAUAUCUGCUGCAAUUCCUACAAAAAAUCUGCCUGCAAGUGAUGCUAUGUAACACAGACCACAGGAGCAAAGUGUUAUUUUUUAAUAUAAGUGACCAAAUGCUCUGUAACCUCUAGUAAAUGAAUGGAGCUGUGCAAGUAGACACCAACAAGGAAUUUGGCUUUAAAUGCUGUAUAUACAAUAUACAUGAUUCUGUGCUUUUGUCUGCUCAACACUUUGAAUAUUGCUUCAAAUUUAAAACUAAAGCACUUUGGGACAGCUGCUGCGUCCGUUUCCUUGUAUGUCAACAAGCACAACAGGGUUCAAUCCUGUCUGAAGGGUGCAGUAAACCUUUAACCAAAGACAUACCUGGAAAUCAUAAAUCAAGACCAUUCCCUCAUUUAGCCAAUGUCAUGGUUGAAUAGACUGGUUUCAGAAAGGCACAGAAUAUACCUUCUGCCACUUGGACAUAGUACUCACCCAAAGCACCUUUCAGCUGCGAGCAAUAAUCCUGCUAUAGCUUAAAAAAGGCAUCAUCAGGAGGUAAAACCUCAUUGGAUGUGGCUGAAAUGAGAUAUUUCCGCUCUCUAAAUGCAAACAUUUCUCCUCCCCAGAGCAGCACUCCUAUUCUGUUGAGAUAGCAGUCCUGGCAAAAUCUUCAAGAAUGUUUCUGCUCCAGGUUCUUAUUCUAGCUUUAUUUUGGCCUUGUAAGUUUUUGUUUCACCCUCUUCUACACAUAUGCAUAUUACGGAGCAACACAUGGAUGAGCUAUAAACUCCAGCUGAUGUUGUAUAAUUCAUUAUUUCCUCCUCUUUUUCUUCUCCUAGAUGGGCACGCACAGUUGCUUCUCCAACAAAUCCAGACAUCUGUUACCAAAGAACAAUAUAAAACAGCACGUAUGGACUGUAAGAUUUCUGGUCUGCAAAACUUCAAGAGUGCUGUUAUACAUUGGUAUCAACAAAUAUCCAGUAGAGCUCCAGAGUGGAUUCUGUUCAUCUCAGAAUCGGAACCCAGCAUUGAUCAGCACUUUGAUAAGAACAAGUUUCACUGUGAAAAGGAUCCUAACAAGCAAAUCUCUACCCUAACUGUAAAUGAUGUGACCCAUAAUGACACAGCUACCUACUACUGUGCUGCCUGGGAUCAUACAGCAUUAACAAACAAUAGAGAGUUUGUACAAAUACCCAUUCUGAAAACUGAGCCACAGCCAUUUUGACACAAAGAAUCAGACAUAUCCUCCGACUUCUUUGUCAGCCUCAGGCAGAACUAGAUAAGCAGCCAACUGGACAUCAACCACAACUACAUAUAUUUGGUACUCAGAAUUAUAUUAGAAGAGAGAUUUAUGUGCAAAAUUUGCAGAUAUAAAGGCAUGUGAUUAAUUAUGACAUGCAGAUACUUUCAUUGUCCCUGAUAUAUAUAAUUCCUCCCACUGGUAAGAAGCACUGGUAAUCGUUACAGAUGUGGUAUCUCUAAUGAAAUGUGCCAUAAGUGAUGAUGCUACAUUAGUAAAUGGCCUUUUCUCCUACUGUCAGUACUGAACCAACAACCUGGUCUAAAGUUAAGAGCUGUUAUAAUGUUACAGCGCUACCUUUUAUCCAAGACAUCAAUUCAGCCUUCACAUAAAUUGUCAACAAAAGCAUGUUGCCACUCUUCCCAGGAAUAAGGGCAUUGAUUCAGAAACCUGGACAGAAUCCAGUUGACAGUGGUUUCUGCUACUUACUUCUUUUGCUUUUUGAGUUUGUCAGUGAAUUCUCUAUCUCCGGCCACUGUUUGAAAUUCUGAAGCUAGAUCUUCAGAGUACUACAGUCUCUCUAAAAAAGGUCCCAUAGCUGGAUAUUCAGGUCUGUGGAGCAUGUGUGGGAGAGAGUAUGGCGAGGUGCAAUCAAAGAUUUGAGGAGCGCUGGUAACUAGUACAGAGCUAUCUGGACCACUUGGUACACUAACCACGAGCAAAUGUAACAUUUUGCAAAGAAUGCAGGGUACACAUGUAAGACGGAGAUUCUAGCUAAGGCAAAAACUACCCUUGAAGGAUUGGCAAGUCAUAGUGGAUGAACAGGUGAGCAGCUGAAUGUGAGCUCUCACUUAAACGCUGUAGCAAAAAGAACUAAUACAUAUCUUAGACGUAUAAACAAAGGAAUCUAGAGCAGGUGGGAGGAGAUAUCCCAUGUGCAUGGAUUGACUGCUUGGUCAGCAAUAGUUUAAGAAGGUUGAUAAGCUGGAGAGAGUUCAGAGCAGUGCCACAUGAGAGAUUAAAGGGUUGGAAAACAUGUGUUAGACUGAAACACUCUGGGAGCUCAGGAAGUAACAGAUGAACCCGUGCCAGUCUAGAGGAUCAGUCAAAUGAAACAAAGCUUGGAGGACAAACCCUUAUAUUGAACAGAAAAAAGUAUAACAAUUUCCAAUGCCGGGAAGGUGAAGUUAUGAUAACUUCAAACCUCUACUACCUGACAAUAUUUUCACUGUGAAAAUAAUUAAUGAUCUGAACAACUUGCUCUGAGUUCUCCAUUGCUGGCCAUUUUGAAAUCAAGACUGGGUGAUUUUUCCUUAAGAAUAUGUAAGAUGACAGCAAGGUUAAAUCUACAUUUCCUCACAAUAAAUCAUGGGUAAACUGGA